GCAGUCGAGCGGCAGCACGGGUACUUGUACCUGGUGGCGAGCGGCGGACGGGUGAGUAAUGCCUAGGAAUCUGCCUGGUAGUGGGGGAUAACGCUCGGAAACGGACGCUAAUACCGCAUACGUCCUACGGGAGAAAGCAGGGGACCUUCGGGCCUUGCGCUAUCAGAUGAGCCUAGGUCGGAUUAGCUAGUUGGUGAGGUAAUGGCUCACCAAGGCGACGAUCCGUAACUGGUCUGAGAGGAUGAUCAGUCACACUGGAACUGAGACACGGUCCAGACUCCUACGGGAGGCAGCAGUGGGGAAUAUUGGACAAUGGGCGAAAGCCUGAUCCAGCCAUGCCGCGUGUGUGAAGAAGGUCUUCGGAUUGUAAAGCACUUUAAGUUGGGAGGAAGGGCAGUUACCUAAUACGUAAUUGUUUUGACGUUACCGACAGAAUAAGCACCGGCUAACUCUGUGCCAGCAGCC
rnacentral:rRNA from 1 species